rnacentral:rRNA from 1 species
CCUACGGGUGGCAGCAGUGGGGAAUAUUGGACAAUGGGGGGAACCCUGAUCCAGCCAUGCCGCGUGUGUGAAGAAGGCCCUCGGGUUGUAAAGCACUUUCAGUGAGGAAGAACACCUGGUGGUUAAUACCCAUCAGGAAAGACAUCACUCACAGAAGAAGCACCGGCUAACUCCGUGCCAGCAGCCGCGGUAAUACGGAGGGUGCGAGCGUUAAUCGGAAUUACUGGGCGUAAAGCGCGCGUAGGUGGCUUGAUAAGCCGGUUGUGAAAGCCCCGGGCUCAACCUGGGAACGGCAUCCGGAACUGUCAAGCUAGAGUGCAGGAGAGGAAGGUAGAGUUCCCGGUGUAGCGGUGAAAUGCGUAGAGAUCGGGAGGAAUACCAGUGGCAAAGGCGGCCUUCAGGACUGACACUGACACUGAGGUGCGAAAGCGUGGGUAGCAAACAGGAUUAGAUACCCGUGUCGUC